GAUGAACGCUGGCGGCGUGCCUAAUACAUGCAAGUCGAGCGAACAGACGAGGAGCUUGCUCCUCUGACGUUAGCGGCGGACGGGUGAGUAACACGUGGAUAACCUACCUAUAAGACUGGGAUAACUUCGGGAAACCGGAGCUAAUACCGGAUAAUAUAUUGAACCGCAUGGUUCAAUAGUGAAAGACGGUUUUGCUGUCACUUAUAGAUGGAUCCGCGCCGCAUUAGCUAGUUGGUAAGGUAACAGCUUACCAAGGCAACGAUGCGUAGCCGGCCUGAGAGGGUGAUAGGCCACACUGGAACUGAGACACGGUCCAGACUCCUACGGGAGGCAGCAGUAGGGAAUCUUCCGCAAUGGGCGAAAGCCUGACGGAGCAACGCCGCGUGAGUGAUGAAGGUCUUCGGAUCGUAAAACUCUGUUAUUAGGGAAGAACAAAUGUGUAAGUAACUAUGCACGUCUUGACGGUACCUAAUCAGAAAGCCACGGCUAACUACGUG
rnacentral:rRNA from 1 species